GUUAUAUGGUCAAGUGAAGAAGCGCAUACGGUGGAUGCCUUGGCAGUCAGAGGCGAUGAAA
rnacentral:rRNA from 2 species